rnacentral:lncRNA from 1 species
UGAAAUAAGAGGUAAUAUAGAAGAAUAUGUUGGGGUAAAAGAGUGUGCAGGUAGAAUGGAUACAUCAAGAUUGACAAGUGCCAAAUAUUAUUUCGUUCAGUCGAGUGACAAAUUGAUGAAAGAAUCUUAGACCGCAAUUAUGACAAAAAGAAAAGAAAAAAAAACACUAGAGAAGGUCAUUAACUUUUUUAUCAAAUUAUUGAUCAUUUUAACCCUACUUAUAAUCAUUUUUAACCCUAAUAAUUAACAAGUUUAUGCUUUUUUCGUCGUUACAUAAUACAUAUUUACAUCCAUAUAUGUCUAAUAAAGAAGUAAACCUAAUUUAGUGCAUUGAUAUAGUUAUGGUCUUUCCUUUGAUUCAAAUAGUGUUAUAAGUCGAAAUAAUAUAUAUAUAGUAGUUAAUUAAGUUAGUUUUUGAUUAAUAAAGUGAUAUAAUUGUCUUGGUCGAUCAAAUAAUGAAGCAAAGCAUGUGGGGGUGAUGAGAAGCUCAAACAAAGACUGUUUUUUUUUCUUUUUUUUUUUGUAUAAGUUACAUUGCUAAAUUUGUCUAUUUGUUACUGUUUUGGCACGUGUGAGUAUCGUAAACUAUUCAUUCUUCCAACUACUAAACAUACUUCUGAAAGAGAAAGAGUAAGACUAUCUCCAACUAAGGUUCAUUAACAUAGAUUCUAGGUACGUAUAAUUAACAACAUUCAUACGA